rnacentral:rRNA from 1 species
AACGAACGCUGGCGGCAUGCCUAACACAUGCAAGUCGAACGAAACCUUCGGGUCUAUUGGCGCACGGGUGCGUAACGCGUGGGAACCUGCCCUUAGGUUCGGAAUAACUCCCCGAAAGGGGUGCUAAUACCGGAUAAUGUCUUCGGACCAAAGAUUUAUCGCCUUUGGAUGGGCCCGCGUUGGAUUAGCUAGUUGGUAGGGUAAAAGCCUACCAAGGCGACGAUCCAUAGCUGGUCUGAGAGGAUGAUCAGCCACACUGGGACUGAGACACGGCCCAGACUCGUACGGGAGGGAGGAGAGGGUAAUAGUGGACAAGGGGGGAAGGCAUGAUCCAGCAAUGCCCGGUGAGUGAUGAAGGCAUUAGGGUUGUAAAGCUCUUUUAACCGGGAUGAUAAUGACGGUACCGGGAGAAGAAGCUCCGGCUAACUACGUG